rnacentral:rRNA from 1 species
AGAGUUUGAUCAUGGCUCAGGACGAACGCUGGCGGCGUGCCUAAAACAUGCAAGUCGGACGGCCCUCUCGCAAGGGAGGGCAGUGGCGAACGGCUGAGUAACACGUGAGUGACCUACCCGUGGGUGGGGGAUAACCCUCCGAAAGGAGGGCUAAGACCGCGUACGUCCGCCGGGUUAGAACCCCGGUGGGGAAAGGCUCCGCAAGGAGUCGCCCGCGGAGGGGCUCGCGUCCCAUCAGGUAGUUGGUUUGAGGUAACGGCUCACCAAGCCUAUGACGGGUAGCUGGUCUGAGAGGAUGGCCAGCCAGACUGAGACUGAGACACGGCCCAGACUCCUACGGGAGGCAGCAGUUAGGAAUCUUGCGCAAUGGGCGAAAGCCUGACGCAGCGACGCCGCGUGGGCGAAGAAGGCCUUCGGGUCGUAAAGCCCUUUUCCGGGGGAAGAUAAUGACGGUACCCCGGGAAUAAGCCCCGGCUAACUACGUGCCAGCCGCCGCGGUAAUAC